UGUGACAAUGAUGAGCCAUGAAAGGGGAUUUCAAAAAUUGAAGCCAAAACUACUCACAGAAAGCAAAAAGCAGAACCAUGACAGCAGGACAUAGAAGAUGAUGAAUCACGGCAAUCUGUUUGUCUAAAGGAGCCACGUACAGCAGGAAAGGAUAAAGGGGAAAAUUUAGCCAUGUUGGACAGUGAUUCAAACUGUUAUUUGUUUUAUUUUGUUUUGUUUUUAAUUCAAAAAAAAAAAAAAUCUUGGAUUUUCCAAAAUUUGAUGUGUAACUACUUUUCAGAUCUGUUUUUGAAACAAAAAGUGUAAAAUAACCUUUGUUGAUUAAUUCUAUGGUUUGCCACUUUUUUCUUUCAAAAUGCUGCAACUUAGGCAAUCACAAAGACUGUUGUCCCUACGUACUCUACAGAGAGGAAUUCUCUUUGAUAUCAGGCCACUGCUGUGUCGCUUUGAACAUGUACACUGCAGAAACUCAAAAUCUUGUACCAAUCUUAUCAUCUUGAACCAAGUAUAUUUGUCAUAUUUGUAGUCAAAAUACUUUUUUCACCUAUUCCAAGCAAAAAUAUCACAUAUUAAGUGAAAAAAAUCUGCCAAUGGAACAAGUGAAAAUUCUCUAGUUUCAAGAUGCACUGUCUAAAAACAAGUUCCUAUAUCUCACUGAAAUGUUACUCUUUAGCUGAUUGUGUCUUAUUUUAAGUGUGAUGAGAUUAUUUUGACUAGAAAUAAGACAAAAAUACUUAUUAAUUACAAGAUUGGUAGAAGAUGUAGCGUUUUUGCAGUGUAUUUGGGGGGUUAAAAUUGUUCUUUAUUUGUUUAAUAAAUAAUUUUGAUCAAUAAACUUUCCUUGUUCAAACAUGCAUCAUGGAAUGGUCAUUCUUUACUUGUGACUUCUUUAUGUUGGUAAAUACAAUAAGUGAAAAAUACAUAAAAUAUACAUAUUUCAUGUGAGGUCCUGUCUCCAUGUAUUUAUGCAAUUAAUCACUGGACAGCUGGACAGGUAUGUUUAUAAAUAAUAUGAUUAUAGUCCAUUUUUCUUAUACAUAUUUUUGACCUGGGGGUAGAAUUUAUUGUGAACUGAAAGAGAAAGUGCUUAUGAACUUGCAAAUUAAAAACAUGAUGCAUUUAUGGUAACUCUUUUUCAUUUUUAUUUAAGAGGAGAAUUUGUUUCACUGUACGAUGUCAGAGUCUGUUUCUUUUCUUGGAGAUAAUUUCUCCUGCCUUAAAGAAAAUCCUCUCACAUGGAACAG
ensembl:lncRNA